UAUCUAUCCAAACAACAUGGCAUUCAUUGUGAAGCAUUUUUGCAAACCAAUCAAAAGCACCAAUCUUAGCUACAUUAUUCCAUUCUAUACCAUUAUGCCAAUCAUGCACCUGUAAAAUAUAUAAAAUUGUACAUAAAAAUGGGAAAUAACUUACAAUACAUUGACAAACUUGACUAAGUGUCUCUCGAAAAUCUGUCAUUAGUGCCAUAAAUGAUUCAGGACCUUUAGUAUAGAGCAAUACAAUAUCUCUGUUUAUAUUAAUAUCUUCCCAUUUUACCUUUUUUUUAAUAUCCUAUAAAAUAUUUGAUAUAUUGUAUUUAUUAGUUCUAAUAAUUUUAUGAUUAAAAAUAUUUUUAUAGAAAUAUUUUUUCUUACUUUAUAAAUAUAUAUAAUAUAGAUAAGAUAUAUAAUUCCAAUAAUUGUAAAUAAAAUUAUAAUAAUAAUAAUUGGGAAAUAAGAAAAUUUAUCAAAAUUAAUGUUGAUUGGAAUAUUGUGAAAUAUUGUAUUUAUAUUUUGACAACCUAUAUACAAAAUUUUUAUUAUAUUUCAUCAUAUAUGAUUAUAAAUAAAAUAAGUAUAUAUAUAAAAAAAUUAUUAAAUUAUAUUUAAAUUAAAGAAUAUUAAUUAUUAUUGCUUAAAAAAAUAAGAAAAAUACAUAAAUAUGACUACAUUA